GGCUGGUCCGAGUGCAGUGGUGUUUACAACGAAUUGAUCACAACCAGUUACAGAUUUCUUUGUUCCUUCUCCACUCCCACUGCUUCACUUGACUAGCUUUAA
ensembl:Y_RNA Y_RNA Y RNA